rnacentral:rRNA from 1 species
CCAGACUCCUACGGGAGGCAGCAGUCGGGAAUAUUGCGCAAUGGAGGAAACUCUGACGCAGUGACGCCGCGUAUAGGAAGAAGGUUUUCGGAUUGUAAACUAUUGUCCACAGGGAAGAAAAAAGACUGUACCUGUGAAGAAAGCUCCGGCUAACUACGUGCCAGCAGCCGCGGUAAUACGUAGGUGGCGAGCGUUAUCCGGAAUGAUUGGGCGUAAAGGGUGCGUAGGCGGUCGAUUAAGUCUGGAGUGAAAGGUACCGGCUCAACCGGUAUAGGCUCCGGAAACUGAUGGACUGGAGUACAGGAGAGGGUGGCGGAACUCCAUGUGUAGCGGUAAAAUGCGUAGAUAUAUGGAAGAACACCGGUGGCGAAGGCGGCCGCCCGGACUGUAACUGACGCUGAGGCACGAAAGCGUGGGGAGCAAAUAGGAUUAGAUACCCUAGUAA